CUGGACAGGAGGCCACAGACCAGCACUGCUUCACCCACGUGUAUACACAUGUGUGACAUCGGAAGAGAGUC